rnacentral:rRNA from 1 species
UACGGGGGGAGCAAGCGUUGUUCGGAUUUACUGGGCGUAAAGGGCGCGUAGGCGGCGUGACAAGUCACUUGUGAAAUCUCCGGGCUUAACUCGGAACGGUCAAGUGAUACUGUCGUGCUAGAGUACAGAAGGGGCAACUGGAAUUCUCGGUGUAGCGGUGAAAUGCGUAGAUAUCGAGAGGAACACCUGCGGCGAAGGCGGGUUGCUGGGCUGACACUGACGCUGAUGCGCGAAAGCUAGGGGAGCGAACGGG